rnacentral:rRNA from 1 species
CAGCAGCAGCCGCGGGAAUACGUAGGGUGCGAGCGUUAAUCGGAAUUACUGGGCGUAAAGCGUGCGCAGGCGGUUCGGAAAGAAAGAUGUGAAAUCCCAGGGCUUAACCUUGGAACUGCAUUUUUAACUACCGGACUAGAGUGUGUCAGAGGGAGGCGGAAUUCCACGUGUAGCAGUGAAAUGCGUAGAGAUGUGGAGGAACACCGAUGGCGAAGGCAGCCUCCUGGGAUAACACUGACGCUCAGGCACGAAAGCGUGGGGAGCAAACAGGAUUAGAUACCCGUGUAGUCCCUGUCUCUUAUAC